UACAGAGGUCUCAAGCGUUGUCCGGAAUCAUUGGGCGUAAAGAGCGUGUAGGCGGUCCGGUAAGUCGGCUGUGAAAGUCCAGGGCUCAACCCUGGGAUGCCGGUCGAUACUGCCGGACUAGAGUUCGGAAGAGGCGAGUGGAAUUCCCGGUGUAGCGGUGAAAUGCGCAGAUAUCAGGAGGAACACCGAUGGCGAAGGCAGGUCUCUGGGCAUUAACUGACGCUGAGGAGCGAAAGCAUGGGGGAGCGAACAGG
rnacentral:rRNA from 1 species